rnacentral:rRNA from 1 species
CCUACGGGUGGCUGCAGUGGGGAAUAUUGGACAAUGGGGGCAACCCCGAUCCAGCCAUGCCGCGUGUGUGAAGAAGGCCCUCGGGUUGUAAAGCACUUUCAGUGAGGAAGAACGCCUGGUGGUUAAUACCCAUCAGGAAAGACAUCACUCACAGAAGAAGCACCGGCUAACUCCGUGCCAGCAGCCGCGGUAAUACGGAGGGUGCGAGCGUUAAUCGGAAUUACUGGGCGUAAAGCGCGCGUAGGUGGCUUGAUAAGCCGGUUGUGAAAGCCCCGGGCUCAACCUGGGAACGGCAUCCGGAACUGUCAAGCUAGAGUGCAGGAGAGGAAGGUAGAAUUCCCGGUGUAGCGGUGAAAUGCGUAGAGAUCGGGAGGAAUACCAGUGGCGAAGGCGGCCUUCUGGACUGACACUGACACUGAGGUGCGAAAGCGUGGGUAGCAAACAGGAUUAGAUACCCGGGUAGUC